rnacentral:rRNA from 1 species
GACGAACGCUGGCGGCGUGCCUAAUACAUGCAAGUCGAACGCAGUGGGGACGGGUGAGUAACACGUGGGUAACCUCCCAUCAGAGGGGAUAACACUUGGAAACAGGUGCUAAACCGAUAUUUUUUGAUGGUCCCUCUGUGCAUGAGCUAGUUGGUGAGGUAACGGCUCACAAUGCCCACGAUGCAUAGCCGACCUGAGAGGGGUAUCGGCCACACUGGGACUGGGACACGGCCCAGACUCCUACGGGAGGCAGCAGUAGGGAAUCUUCGGCAAUGGACGAAAGUCUGACCGAGCAACGCCGCGUGAGUGAAGAAGGUUUUCGGAUCGUAAAACUCUGUUGUUAGAGAAGCGGUAAGGAAAGAGAAAGCCACGGCUAACUACGUGCCAGCAGCCGCGGUAAUUG